AAAUUGAAGAGUUUGAUCAUGGCUCAGAUUGAACGCUGGCGGCAGGCCUAACACAUGCAAGUCGAGCGGUAGCACAGAGAGCUUGCUCUCGGGUGACGAGCGGCGGACGGGUGAGUAAUGUCUGGGAAACUGCCUGAUGGAGGGGGAUAACUACUGGAAACGGUAGCUAAUACCGCAUAACGUCGCAAGACCAAAGUGGGGGACCUUCGGGCCUCAUGCCAUCAGAUGUGCCCAGAUGGGAUUAGCUAGUAGGUGGGGUAACGGCUCACCUAGGCGACGAUCCCUAGCUGGUCUGAGAGGAUGACCAGCCACACUGGAACUGAGACACGGUCCAGACUCCUACGGGAGGCAGCAGUGGGGAAUAUUGCACAAUGGGCGCAAGCCUGAUGCAGCCAUGCCGCGUGUGUGAAGAAGGCCUUCGGGUUGUAAAGCACUUUCAGCGGGGAGGAAGGCGUUAAGGUUAAUAACCUUGGCGAUUGACGUUACCCGCAGAAGAAGCACCGGCUAACUCCGUGCCAGCAGCCGCGGUAAUACGGAGGGUGCAAGCGUUAAUCGGAAUUACUGGGCGUAAAGCGCACGCAGGCGGUCUGUCAAGUCGGAUGUGAAAUCCCCGGGCUCAACCUGGGAACUGCAUUCGAAACUGGCAGGCUAGAGUCUUGUAGAGGGGGGUAGAAUUCCAGGUGUAGCGGUGAAAUGCGUAGAGAUCUGGAGGAAUACCGGUGGCGAAGGCGGCCCCCUGGACAAAGACUGACGCUCAGGUGCGAAAGCGUGGGGAGCAAACAGGAUUAGAUACCCUGGUAGUCCACGCCGUAAACGAUGUCGAUUUGGAGGUUGUGCCCUUGAGGCGUGGCUUCCGGAGCUAACGCGUUAAAUCGACCGCCUGGGGAGUACGGCCGCAAGGUUAAAACUCAAAUGAAUUGACGGGGGCCCGCACAAGCGGUGGAGCAUGUGGUUUAAUUCGAUGCAACGCGAAGAACCUUACCUGGUCUUGACAUCCACAGAACUUUCCAGAGAUGGAUUGGUGCCUUCGGGAACUGUGAGACAGGUGCUGCAUGGCUGUCGUCAGCUCGUGUUGUGAAAUGUUGGGUUAAGUCCCGCAACGAGCGCAACCCUUAUCCUUUGUUGCCAGCGGUUCGGCCGGGAACUCAAAGGAGACUGCCAGUGAUAAACUGGAGGAAGGUGGGGAUGACGUCAAGUCAUCAUGGCCCUUACGACCAGGGCUACACACGUGCUACAAUGGCAUAUACAAAGAGAAGCGACCUCGCGAGAGCAAGCGGACCUCAUAAAGUAUGUCGUAGUCCGGAUUAGAGUCUGCAACUCGACUCCAUGAAGUCGGAAUCGCUAGUAAUCGUAGAUCAGAAUGCUACGGUGAAUACGUUCCCGGGCCUUGUACACACCGCCCGUCACACCAUGGGAGUGGGUUGCAAAAGAAGUAGGUAGCUUAACCUUCGGGAGGGCGCUUACCACUUUGUGAUUCAUGACUGGGGUGAAGUCGUAACAAGGUAACCGUAGGGGAACCUGCGGUUGGAUCACCUCCUUA
rnacentral:rRNA from 1 species